rnacentral:rRNA from 1 species
CGGUGGUCAUAGCCCAGGAGAAACGCCCGGUCCCAUUCCGAACCCGGAAGCUAAGCCCUGGCACGGCGAUGGUACUGCAUUCGAGAGGAUGUGGGAGAGUAGCACGCCGCCGCUACA